UUCGACGCAACGCGCAGAACCUUACCUUGGUCUUUGACAUCCCGGGAAUCUUUCUGAAAGGAGAGAGUGCCUCGCAAGAGGAGCCUGGUGACAGGUGCUGCAUGGCUGUCGUCAGCUCGUGUCGUGAGAUUGUUGGGUUUAAGUCCCGCAACGAGCGCAACCCCUAUCUUUAGUUGCCAUCAUUGAGUUGGGCACUCUAAAGAGACUGCCGGUGUCAAACCGGAGGAAGCGGGGAUGACGUCAAGUCAGCAUGGCCUUUAUGUCCAGGGCUACACGCGUGCUACAAUGGGCGGUACAGAGGGAAGCAAAGCCGCGAGGUGGAGCUAAUCCUUAAAGCCGUCCUCAGUUCGGAUCGCAGGCUGCAACUCGCCUGCGUGAAGUCGGAAUCGCUAGUAAUCGCGGAUCAGCUACGCCGCGGUGAAUACGUUCUCGGGCCUU
rnacentral:rRNA from 1 species